UGGCGUAAACAAAGGGAAGCGAAGGCGUGAGCGUAAGCAAAACCCAAAAAUAACGUCCCAGUUCGGAUUGUAGUCUGCAACCCGACUACAUGAAGCUGGAAUCGCUAGUAAUCGCGGAUCAGAAUGCCGCGGUGAAUACGUUCCCGGGUCUUGUACACACCGCCCGUCACACCAUGGGAGUCGGAAAUGCCCGAAGUCGGUGACCUAACUGAAAGGAAGGAGCCGCCGAAGGCAGGUCUGGUGACUGGGGUGAAGUCGUAACAAGGUACC
rnacentral:rRNA from 1 species